rnacentral:misc_RNA from 1 species
CUCACAUUCUAUUUAUGUACCCACAUUCAUAGGUACUUAUUAGAGAAUUGAUCACAAGAACAUUGAACUCAAACCCAAGCUUUAGAAGGUAGCAAUGAACCUCCUUACAAAGUUCUGCAACUAACAUGUGAAUACAAACAGAGAGAAUACAUGACAUUGUUACAAUAUUGGGUUUGAUUUGUUCAGAUUGCGCGUUACAAAAUAACUUUUGAGCUUUAUCUGCACACUCUCUUGAGCAAAUCCAGAUAAUAGGGAAUUCCAAGACACCAAAUCCCUGGUUGGUAAUCUACGGAAAACUUAUUGAGCAAAUUCAAUGUACCACGUUUUCCAGAGAUAUCAACAAGGUCACCACCAAGAAAAAAUAUUAGAAUCAAACACCAAUUUUACUGACAAUCCUUGAAUUUCCAUGGCUUAAGGACCAAGAAUGAACAUCCCAUAAUGCAGCCAAAAGUAUGAUAAAAUCUGGAAAACCACGAUCCAGCAUAAAAGUCACAAAACAAUUGCAAUGCCUCACUGGAAAAAUCAUGCUGGGAACAAUUGGAUAUUGAAUUACAUUUCCAUGAGAGCGGUUCCAAUUCUUAUAUCAUUUUUUAGUCCAAAUAUUAGCACAACUCCAUGAAUCUGUUAUCCAACUGCUAAAUCCAACAACUGUGAGCAAAACUAAAACAGUCACCAGAAUUGAGGAAUCUGGGUUAAUUCCUAGAUCUAACAUCUCGAAAAACAAUUCCAAAGCACAGACACUUAUUCGAAACAAAUCUCAAAAUCAUCACAUUCCAUAUCACUCUAUUUCCUCUCACUUGCUCUUCAUCAAAAGUUCUGUCAAAAACAUGUUAAUCAUUCUUUAUCUCUCGGCGUUUCAUGCACAUCUCAAUCAAUCCACUAACCAAGAAUUCAUCAGAAUCCAAUCCAUAUUUCACAAGUAAACCAUGAAUCUCUUUCACAUGAAACAAGGACGUUAUGUAAGAACAUUAUGAGAGAGCAGAGAGACGAGCAACGCCAGUCAGGUCCACCAUCCACACCACCACACUCCUUGACCAUCCUGCUAAAGAUGGUCAAUGAAUUUGCAUAGUCCCCUGAUCGUCAAAGAUAUAAUUGUACUCCACAAAACUGAAUCUCUACAAUCCAUUUUUCUCCAAACAUUUUAACAGCAUGUUGGACCACCAACAUUUCCAAUACAUAUCCAGAAGCGAAAUUUUAACGUAUAUAUUUUCUAAAAAUCCUAACUUUAACAGAUGCCUACGCAAUGACCUUGUCAGUUCAUAACCAUUUCUUUUCCAGGGGUUCCUCGGGCACGCUUAUCGCUCAAAAACCCACGAGUGUCACGACUUCUGAAAGGGAUCGUCAGAGUACAGAAAUGAACGAAACUAUUUCGGAAACUGCAAGAAAUUGAAUGCUUUUUGUACCAUACAAUACAUGGUUAGAACAGUAGAAAGCUACCUGCAUUGGCUGACAUGGGUCGGCGGAGAUACCGUAAAGGGGGAGUGACCGUGGACUGAGCGAUCGUACAGUUUCCGCCUCUUCCGGUGACAAUUAUCCGCGUUGUUUGCAUUUACAAAUCUUUGAGGGACAAAAGUACCCUCGUCCGUUUAGUGGAAUUUCUGACAUACCCUGCAUAUAUAUAAAGCUUCGUCUCUUUCCAAAUUCCUUUCUAAUUCAGUAGGGCGUGCACCGUUCAUCGCGCACACAGAGGGCUCUGGCAGCUGUCUACGUCCAAUACGAAGAAUGGAAGAUAAACCCUCAAGUUCGCCGAUGAGCUUUAUUGACCAGAUAGUGGUCCCAGGAGACGUGGUUCUAGAUCUCUCGACCAUGACUAACCAGACUAUCAAGCUUGGUGGCGGCCUCCGUCAGGUCUCUCUUUUAGGGUUUUAGUUAUAAGUUUUGCUCUGUUUCUGUAUUUUGCUUGAUGAAUUUAUGUGUUCGAUCUCGUUUUCUUUUCCCCUUAAAAAAAAGAGAUGCCAUUUUUUGGUUGUGAUAGUGGAAUGUUGAGGUCCUUAGGAUUUUGUUUGUCAUAAUCCAUAUAAUUUUUUUCCCUUUCCUUUUUGUAUUUUGGCAUUCAUUCCGCGGAUUUAGUUCAUGAACUAUUUUAUAUUUCAACAAGUAUAUUGAUGUUGUCAACAACUUUAGACAUUACAUGUUUCUGCCUAAACACUGUGAACUAAGGUUUUAUGGUGUGCAAGUGCUGGUGCCAGCUGUGGAUUAUGCCUUUUUAAUUGAAAAGGGGAAAAAAUUCUCAUUUUCCAAACAUGUGAGUUGUAGCUGGCCUAAUUUCCUAUUAGCUUUGGCUUUGUCAUGUUUAAUGCUAUCUUGAUUUUAAAUUAUAACAUAAUACUUAUUCUGUUCUUAAUCCAUUGAAGCUUUGCUAUAAGUAUAAUUUGUGUGGUUAUUGCCUCUCCCCCAAUCUAAAGAAUUAAAUAGAAAAUGUCUCUGUGCUUUAUUUUGAUGAGCAGAUAGUGAUAUUUGUUUUGUGUAUUUUCUAGGAUUCUGAUGCUAUCUCUGUCAUGAAAGCCGGGAAAUUGAGGUUCUCAAAGCCAAACAAAUACUGGGUGGAAAGCUCCCAGAAAAGAUACGUACCUUGCGUGGGAGACAGCGUUCUUGGAAUUGUGGUAGACUCCAAAGCAGAAGUUUACAACUCUGGUAGCAAUGGUAAUUGUCUUCACCUGUUUUAAGAAGGAUUACAGUGAUUGUAAUGCAAUAGUUGAGAACCAAAUUGGAUGUGAUGAGGUAGACAUAACCAGAGCCUCAAUUCAAAAGAUUUAUGUUAAAUUCCUUUUCUUAAUUCUCUGUUAAUUGUUUUUCAUUUCCUGGAAAAUGCAUUCUAACCAUGACUUGAGAAUACAAUUGACUGCAAAACUUGCAUAAAUUUGGUAGACUACCCAUUCAUAGGAAACCAGUGAGCUUUGAUAGUCCUUGAAGAGUUGAGUUAUUACUUGUAUCUAAACUUAUAAAACUUGUGGGAGAGCCAACUAACUUCCCUGUAGACUGAAGAUAAAUUAAACAGACAAGAAUGGACAAGACUAGUAACAACAAAUUGGUAAUCCAUAAUUGAGUGAAUUUUUGAGUCAGAUGAUUAUAUCUGCCUUAAAAUGGACUUUUGUUUACUUGCAUAAGAUGGAAUGGGCCUUGAAUUUUUACAAGAAUUUGGUAAAUUACUUUCAAGAAAUCCUGAAGCAAUCCUUAAACUAUCCUAACAAGAAUUAUGGACCACAUAAGUUAAACGAUUUGAAGGUGCCGUAAUCUCAUAUAACCUGCUUUAAUCCAGAAGUCCUCUCUCUAAAUUACUUCUAUGCAGUUCUUUCUAUUCUGGAGUUAUUUCCAAUUUGAAUCUCAUUUAUCUAAGAUUAAUCUUUAGGGCAUUUCAGUAUAAGUCGUAAUGGGUAGUAGUGGCCCUUAAUUUUUCCUUUGCAUAGCUUGCACAAUUUAGAACUGCUUCCAAAAAUUUGACAUGGUGUGGGCUAAGUCUGCCCUAAAAGCUUGGGCGAGAAGUUAUUGUCAGACUGUUUAUUUUGUUUUUAUAUGCAUUUUGUGGAUAUUAGUUUAUGAACCACCUUUGCUUUCUCAUUUUCCCCCUUCUUCCCAUUGUGUAAAAUGCUCAUUCUAUAUAUUCUAUUAUGGCCUCAUACCAGUUGUCUACAUUUUAAUACUGGUAUUUACAUCAAUUUUGCAUUUUAGUUUGAAAUUUGAAUACUUGAUGCACAUGUUUUGACAUAUAUUUUUUUUUUAUUUGCAGAACUUUCUCAUAGACAUAAAAGGACCUGCCCUGGCAUUUUUGCCUGUGCUUGCAUUUGAGAGAGGUACAAGGAGAAAUAUACCAAAAUUUGAGCCGGUGGGAAGCUGUAGAAUUUGGUGUCCUCAAUGAUGGCUACACGUUUGAAUACUCAACUGGUCUAUCAAGAAUGUGAGGCAUCUGCUUCCAGCUUAACUUUUAAGAGGACAAAACACUGUUGUAGAACGGUUACUAUACAACAAAAUUAUGAGGCUACCAUCAUCUCUCUUUUUGUUGUGGUGACGGACCUCAUUUAUUUUUAGGCUGUUGAGCUCACCUACAUACCUGGUUCUCGAGGCUCUUGGCAAUAAACUCUUCUUUGAGAUAGCAGUUGGCUUAAAUGGCCGCAUUUUGGUGAAUGCCACCUCCUUGUCGACAGUCAUCAUUGUUGCAAACGCACUCAUGAACUCACAGAUUUUGAGUGGGGUGCAGCAGAAAAUUAUGGCAGAUAAACUGCUUCAGAAAAUACAAACAUGAUUAGAGAAUUGCCGACAUUGUAUGGAUCUUCCAUCUUCAUUUCAUGCAGAAGUUCAAAUACACCAAGAUUUAACAGCUACUGGUUCAUUUCUCAUUGUUGUAAAACCGUCUUGUAAGUCAUCAGUUAGAGGGUAUUUUGGAUAAUUCAUUAGGCUUCCCUCCCUUUCCUUCUGGGACAGACAGUGACCAGUUUGUAAUUUUGAGGGUAGAAGUAAAUGAACUGUUGAGGACAAGAAUGCCUUUUCGAAGCUAUAUCCGGCAAAUUUACUUUAGCAACUCUUCAUCAAUGAUACAGGUUAUGAACCAAGAAUUAAAUUGGAGCUGUCCUUAUGCUUCUGGUGGCAGGCAUAUAAACUAAUUAUGAGAAUUAUGCAACAGAAUGUCAUUAAUGCUGGGGAUGGAAUUGUCAUCGAUUCAAGGAAUUUUUACACUGUCUAGACUAGUCGUUAAGUAUUUUAUUUAAGAACCCUAGCUGAAUAAUGC